rnacentral:rRNA from 1 species
CACUUUUAAUUAUAUUUUAUAUACCGCCGUCUUGAAUAGAUUUAAAAAUUUUAUUCAAAAAAAAAUUCUAAAAAUUUAGGUAAAGGUGUAAACUAUUUAAAAGACAAAAUGUAUUACAUUAAAUAAAAUUUAAGGAUCGAGUUAAAUAUAAUUUCAAGAAAAAGGAUUUAUAAGUAUUAUUUAAUUAAUAUUAAAAUUUG